rnacentral:rRNA from 1 species
GUGGGGAAUAUUGGACAAUGGGCGAAAGCCUGAUCCAGCAAUGCCGCGUGAGUGAUGAAGGCCUUAGGGUUGUAAAGCUCUUUUACCCGAGAUGAUAAUGACAGUAUCGGGAGAAUAAGCUCCGGCUAACUCCGUGCCAGCAGCCGCGGUAAUACGGAGGGAGCUAGCGUUGUUCGGAAUUACUGGGCGUAAAGCGCACGUAGGCGGCUUUUUAAGUCAGGGGUGAAAUCCCGGGGCUCAACCCCGGAACUGCCUUUGAAACUGGGAAGAUAGAAUCCUGGAGAGGCGAGUGGAAUUCCGAGUGUAGAGGUGAAAUUCGUAGAUAUUCGGAAGAACACCAGUGGCGAAGGCGACUCGCUGGACAGGUAUUGACGCUGAGGUGCGAAAGCGUGGGGAGCAAACAGGAUUAGAAACCCCAGUAGUCC